CCAUAAGUACACCCCCAAAACCCGAUGUCACAAGUGCAUGAGCAUCAACUAGGAAGUAAAAUAAAAUAUAGCAUCUAUCCGGAAUACAAAUUAGACAGGAAAAAUAUAUAAGUAACUCUGAAGGAGACUCUGCUGGUUGCGGAUCAUAACAGGCGAUGCAGCUCACCUAAGUCCCCCCAAUAACCGCGCCUCUGCGCUCACAAGGCCACUAGAUAUAUAUGUACCUGCACAAAAAUGUGCAGCAAGUGUAGUAUGAGUAUGUAAAUCAACGCGUACCUAGUAAUUAUCUUGUCUAACCUCGAAGAAGUAGUGAUGAGGGGUUGACUCCGACACUUACUAUAGGCUAACAAUAAAAUAUCGAUAUUAUACUUAAGCACGGAUUGUAAGAAAUAGCUGUAAACACAAUAACAAGAAGUGAGUGAACAAUUCUUUUAUUAAUAGAAAAUUUUCCAAAUUUAUUCUCGUCAUCUAACAUUUUGUAUCUCAGGCCAAUGAAGCAAUAUCAAUUAUUAUUAAUUCCAAAGAUUAAUCAUGCGCAAAUCAUGUCGAGGUCAUACGACCCGAUCUAACAUAAAUAUUUAAAAUGUGCACUGCCAAGGGUCGAACGACGCGAACCAUAGAUGCAUCUAUUUGCUACCGAGGCGUUUGGCCCUCUCCACAAAAGAGUAAAUAUAUUUACAACAACCAAUUCAAGAUUUAUUAAGGGGCAAUUAGUCAAGGGAAUACCAAAUUCUCAUUAACAUUCAAGAAAAUGAAGUUUAGCCUUUUACAAUUCCUUUAUCAAGUUUCAAUAUGAUUUAAGCAAUUAAAUUAACAAGUAGGGCGCAAACAUCGUAAGUAUAACAUGAUUUGGAUCCUAGACUACCCGAACAUAAGCAUAAUAGUAACUACGCAAGGACUCUCGUCACCUCGUGCGUACGUAGCCCCCACAGAUAGAACCACAUAUUAAAUAAACUUACCUAUGGGGUUAAUUCCCUCUUACAAGUUUCGAAAAGAGACUUACCUCGCUCCGAAAUUCCAUAACCGGCUCCAAAGCCUUUCCAACAACUCAAACCGAUGCCCAUUACUCCAAAACUAGUCAAUAAAUGUGCAAAUCCAUAAAUAUAUACUCUAAUACUCCUUAAAAUCUAUUUUACAACAAUUUCUAACUUCGCUCGAAAAGUCGAUAAAAAUCGCCCUCGGGCCCACGUGCCCGGAUUCCGAAAUUUUUUAGAGAUAGUCGUUACCCAUAACAAUACGAACUCAAAUAUAUACUAUAUUCUCAAUUUCAUGUUCAAUUUCGUGGUCAAAUUCCAAAAUUACCAAAUUCUAGGUUUUCUAUCAAAAAUCCCACUUCUACAAAUUUUCAUGCUUAAAUCCGUAUAAAAACCAUGUAUUUAACUUAAAAUAGGUGGGAAUAACUUACCUUGACAUAGAUGAUGAAAACCCCCCAAUUGAAGCUCUCCAAAAAUCGCCCAACCAAGAGAGAAUUGAAGAAAAUGGGCCAAAUCCCCGUUUUAAAGAAACCUCACUGCCCAGCACAAAUUCCAUUUUUGCGAUGCGAAGGUCGCUUCUGUGACAGCCGCUUAUGUGGCUCCAAGUCUCGCACCUGCAAGAAACCAAGCCAAGAUUGCUGGCCGCUUCUACGGCCCUCAUGCGCAUCUGCGCCCACGCUUCUGCGGCUCUUCGUGCGCAGGUGCGGUCCCGCUUCUGCGAAACUUGACUGCAUCUGCGGUCCCAACCUUCCCCAGCCAAUUCUGCUUCUGCGCCCCUUCUUGGCCUCUUCUGCGGCUCCGCACCUGCGGCCAAAACCUCACAGGUGCGGUUACACCAGAUACCAGCUGCCUCAUCAUUCCUUUAGUCCAAAAGUUGAUCCGUUAACCAUCCGGAAUCCACCCGAGGCCCUCGGGACCUCAACCAAAUAUACCAACACAUCCCAAAACAUGACACGAACUUGCUCGAGGCCUCAAAUCACAUCAAACAAUGCCAAAACCAUGAAUCUCAUCCCAAUUCAAGCUUAAUGAACUUUAGAACUUCAAAAUUCUACAUUCGAUGUCGAAACCUAUCAAAUCAUGUUCGAUUGUCCUCAAAUUUAGCACACAAGUCAUAAUUGACAUUACAGAGCUGCUCCAACUUCCAGAAUUGGAAUUCCACCCCGAUAUAAAAAAUUCCACUCCCGGUCAAACUUUUCCAAAAACCUUUAAAUUCACAACUUUCGCCAAAUGACUCCAAAAUGACCUACGGACCUCCAAAUCCACUUCGGAACAUGCUCCUAAGGCCAGAAUCAUCAUACAGAGCUAUUCCCAGACUCUUAAUCCCAAACAAACAUCGAUAACAUUGAAAUGCACUUCGACCCAAAUUUUUGAAAUUCUUCCAAAUGCCAUCUUUCCACAAUAGGCGCCGAAACGCUAUCGGGUCAUCCAAAACCCGAUCCGGAUAUAUGCCCCAGUACAAAAUCAUCAUACAAACUUGUUGGGACCUUGAAAUCCCAAGUCUGAGAUCAUUUACUCCAAAAUAUACUCUUAGACAACUCCUCAAACUUAAAGCUUCUGAAAUUAGAAUUUUCUCUCCAAAUCAACUCCGAAUUUCCCGAAUUUUAAUUUUGACCAUACGCACAAGUCAUAAUACCUGAAGUGAAGCUACUCAUGGCCUCAAACUGCUGAAUGAUGUGCUAGAGCUCGAAAUGACCGAUUGGGUUGUUACAUAGGGUGUUCAGGCCAAACAUUGACUCGUUUGUCAUUAUCUUCAUUUAUGACAUUUUGAUCUACUCACGUAGCACAGAAGAGUAUAAGCAACAUUUGUGAGUGGUGCUUCAGACCUUGCGGGAACAUAAGCUAUAUGCUAAGUUCUCCAAGUGUGAGUUUUAUCUCGAUUCUGUAGCAUUCUUGGGGCAUGUUGUAUCAGGCGAGGGUAUUAAGGUGGAUCCCAAGAAGAUUGAGGCAGUUCACAGUUUGCCUCGUCCUACUACGGCAACUGAGAUUAGGAGCUUCUUGGGAUUAGCAGGUUAUUAUCGCCGAUUUGUGGAGGGUUUCUCAUCUAUUGCAGCACCUUUGACUAGAUUGACCCAGAAGGGUGAUCCGUUCCAUUGGUCUGAUGAUUGUGAGACGCGCUUCCAGAAGCUCAAGACAGCUUUGACUACAACACUAGUUCUAGUGUAACCUUCUAGCUCGGGGAUGUAUACUGUGUAUUGCGAUGCUUCACAUGUUAGUUUGUGUUAUGUAUUGAUGAAGGAAGGGUGAGUUAUUGCAUAUGCUUUACGUCAGCUGAAGCCCCAUAAGAAGAAUUAUCGUGUGCAUGAUUUGGAGUUGGCCGCGAUUAUUCAUGCUCUUAAGAUCUGGAGGCAUUAUCUUUAUGGGGUGUCCUGUGAGGUUUACAUUGAUCAUCACAGCUUGCAACAUUUGUUCAAACAAAGGGAUCUCAAUUUUAGGCAGUGCAGAUGGCUUGAGUUACUGAAUGAUUAUGACAUCAACAUUCUUUAUCAUCCGGGCAAGGCGAAUGUAGUCGUGGAUGCCUUGAGCAGAAAGGCAGAGAGUAUUGGUAGCUUGGCCUUCAUUUCAGCAGAGGCGUGGCCACUAGCUUUGGACAUUCAGUCCUUGGCUAACAGACUUGUGAGGUUGGAUAUUUUAGAGACCAACCAAGUUCUUGCAUGCGCCGUUGCCUAGUCUUCACUAUUUAAGCAGAUCAAGGCUCGACAGGUUGAUGAUCCACACUUGUUGGUCCUCAGAGAGAUGGUACAAUAUGGUGGUUGCAAAGAGGUUACUCAUCGGUGAGGAUGGUGUUCUGCGACUCCAGGGUUGUCUAUGUGUUCCUAAUGUUGAUGGCUUGAGGGAGAGGAUUUUAGAGGAAGCACAUAGUUCUCGAUAUUCCAUUCACCCAGGUGCUAUGAAGAUGUAUCGUACCUUGAGGCAACAUUAUUGGUGGCGGCAGAUGAAGAAAGACAUAAUUGAGUAUGUAGCUAGGUGCCUAAAUUACUAGCAGGUUAAGUAUGAGCACCAGAGGCCAGGUGGCCUACUCCAGCAGAUGACUAUACAUGAGUGGAAGUGGGAGCGCAUUACUAUGGAUUUCGUAGUUGGGUUGCUGUGGACCUUACGGAAGUUCGAUGUAGGUUGGGUCAUUAUUGAUAGAUUGACCAAUUUGGCACACUUCAUUCCGGUUGUGACUACGUAUACUUAAGAGAGGUUGGCCCAGAUUUAUAUUCAGGAGAUAGUUCGGUUGCACGGUGUGCCAAUUUUCAUCAUAUCAGAUAGAGGCUCUCAGUUUACUUCACAUUUUUGGAGAGCAGCACAAAGUGAAUUGGGGAACCGUGUAGAGCUCAGCACAGCCUUUCAUCCACAGACCGACGGGCAGUCGGAGCGGACAGUUCAGAUUUUGGAGGAUAUGCUCUUGGCAUGUGUGAUUGACUUCGGAGGUCAGUGGGAUCGUUUCUUGCCUUUGGUCGAGUUUGCUUAUAACAACAGUUAUCAGUCCAACAUUGAGAUGGCUCCAUUUGAGGCUUUGUAUGGUCUGCGAUAUUGUUCGCCCAUUGGAUGGUUUGCGCCCGGUGAGGCUAAGUUAUAUGGUACUGAUUUGGUGAAGGAUGCCUUAGAAAAGGUAAAGUUGAUUAAGGAGCGACUUCGUACAGCACAGUCCAGACAGAAGAGUUACGCAGAUCUGAAUGCGCGUGAUUUAUCAUUUAUGGUGGGUGAGAAAGUUCUCUUGAAGGUUUCACCAAUGAAGGGAAUCAUGAGAUUCGGGAAGAAGGGCAAGUUAAGCCCAAGGUUUAUAGGCCCAUUUGAGGUGUUGAGACGAGUUGGGGAGGUUGCUUGCAAGCUUGCCUUGCCUCCCAGUCUAUCGGGAGUUCAUCUGGUUUUCCACGUGUCUAUGCUCCGAAGGUAUCAUGCUGACUUGUCACAUGUUUUAGACUUCAGCACAGUUCAGCUAGAUAAGAGCUUGGGUUAUGAAGAGGAACCAGUUGCCAUUGCUGAUAGACAGGUUCGCCAGUUGAGGUCCAAGAAGAUUUCUGCUGUAAAAGUCUAGUGGAGGGGCCGAACAGUCGGAGAAGCGACUUGUGAGGCCGAGGAAGACAUGCGGAGCAGAUAUCUACACUUAUUCAGCAUUCCAGGUAUGAUUCUAGACCCGUUCGAGGAUGAACGUUUGUUUAAGAAGUGGAGAAUGUAACAACCCGACAGGUUGUUUUGCUUUUUAGAACCCCGUUCCCCUAAAUAAGACUCCCCAAAUCUGCUUUUACUCUUUUAUGACUUACGGGGAUGGUUUGUUCGAGCUUUGGAAGGGUUAGGGAUGAAAUCAGAACACUUGGUUCCUUAGGUUGGCCUUAAAAGGCUAAGUUUGACUUCGGUCAACAUUUUGAGUAAAUGACCUCAGAAUUGGAAUUUGACUGUUUCAAUAGGUUUGUAUGAUGUUUUUGGACUUGGGCGUAUGCUCGAGUCGGGUUUUGGAUGACCCGGGAGCGUUUCGGCGCCUAAUAGUGAAAGUUGGUUCUUUGAAGGUUGUUGAAGUUCUUUAAAUUUGGUUUGGAGUAGGUUUGGGGAUAUUGAGGUCCAAAUGGAAUUCUGAGACUGGGAAUAGUUCCGUAAUGUCAUUUAAGACUUGCACGCAAAAAUUGGCGUCAUUCCGAGUUGAUUUGAUAGGAAUUGGACGCGCGGAAGUAUAUUUAGAAGUUCUUGAGUUCAUGAGUUAAUCCAUGUGUUUUGGCAUCUGAUUCGUGGUUUUGGAUGUUAUUUCAGUGUUUUGAUCACUCGAGCGAGUUUGUAUGAUAUUUUUAGACUUGUGUGGGUGUUUGGUGUGGAGCCACGAGCGCUCGGGUGAGUUUCAGACGUUCGGGAGGAUGAGAAAAACUUUAGUUUUCUGGUGUUUCUUGGCAGCUGUUGCAGGUCUCGCAAAUGCGAGAAUUUGUUUGCAUUUGCGAACCUCGCAUUUGCGAGGAAGGAUUCGCAAUUGCGAAGAAGCCUGAGCUGGGCAGUGUUCGCAUUUGUGACACUUUGGUCGCAUUUGCGACCUUGCAGUGGGAGCCCAGGUUCGCAUUAGCGAUGAGUUUGUCGCAUUUGCGACCCUCGCAUUUGCGAACCAGGUGUCACAAAUGCGACAUCUGCGACCUGUACACAGCCUUAUUAAAUGCGAGACAUAGGCCAUUUAGCUCAGUUUCUUUCAUCUCUUGGGCGAUUUUUGGAAGGGGGUUUUCACCUAGCACUUUGAGGUAAGUAAUUUCUAUACAACAUGAGUUAAAUACAUAGCUUAUGGGUAGAUUAUAACAUGUAAAUUAGUGAAAAUUAUGGGUUUAUGUGAAAACCUAGGUUUUUGAUAAAAAUUAGAUUUUAGUAUGAAAUUUGUUAUGGAAUUUAGUAAAAAUAAAAUAUUUGAGUUCUUGAGGUUAUGGAUAACAAUUUUCUUCGAAACUUUCCGAUAUCCGGGGACGUGGGCCCGGGGGUGAAUUUUAGGAAUCCUGUAUUCGGCGUUGGGUAAUCCCUUUAAUAGUUGGAAUAUGAACUUUUGAACAAGUAUUAAUUUAUUUUUAAUCCAUUUGACUAGUUUUGGAUUGUUCAGCACCGAAUUAAGGGUUUGAGCACAAUCUUGGACCGAAAAUUAGGUUUUGAGACGAGGUAAGUCUCUUUUCUAACCUUGUAAUAGGGAAUUAACCCCAUAGGUGAAUUUAAUUAAUAUGUCCUUAUAAUUGUGGGGUUACAUACGCACGAGGUGACGAGAGUCCAUACGUAGCUACUAAUUCUGCUUAUGUCCGGGUAAGUUUUAGGGUUACACCAUGCUUUGUUGACAUCGCUAUUUGAUUAUGCUUACUAAUUGCCUUGGAUAGAGCUGAGAUUGAGGAUCUCAAUGGCUUUUAAAGUUUCUAGCAUAAUUUUCUUGUUUUGGAAAGAAUUGAGGGAUAACUUGAGAAAUAUAUGUUCAACCGCAUCGCAAUUAUAUUUCGCGAGCGGGGUAAAUUUCCACUACACUCAUGGGAGCGGGCCGUUCGCCUCGGCAGGUUAAUAGAUGCAUUUAUGGUUCAUGCCGUUCAACCCUCGGCAGUGCAUAUAGUAUAUUUUUAUGCAUUUUGGAUCGGGCCGUACGUCCUCGGCAUAAUUCAUGCGAAAUGAUACUGGAAAUUUCAAUAUGAUUGAUAUUGCUUCAUUGGUUUGAAAGAUUAAAAAUAUAAAAGGGGAGAAAUUGAUUUGGUAAAUGCUAUCGGUGAAAGGAUUAUCUAUUUUUGAUUCUUGCUUCUGAGUUCUAAUGUCAUUUAUAUAUCCCAUGUUUAAUUAUUAGUUAUAUACAUAUAUUCUCUAUUGUUGACCCAUAGUAAGUGUCAAAGUCGACCCCUCGUCACUACUUCAUCGAGGUUAGACUAGAUACUAACUGGGUACAUGUUGUUUAUGUACUCACGCUACACUUCUGCACUUAAUGUGCAGGUUCUGAGGUAGGUGCUUUUGAAUAUCAGUCUGGCGCGCACACUUGAUUACUAUUAUGAGACUUUGCGGUGAGUUGUCUUUCGAGCCCGUUCUGUAGUAGCCGAAGUCUUCCUUUUUAUUUAUUUUUUGUCUAUUUUGUUUAAAACAGCAGUGUAGUAAUCUUUGUAUAUUCUACUAGUAGUUCAUACACUUGUGACACCAGGUCUUGAAAAUUUAUGUUAGUAGGCACUUGAUGGUUUUGGGUUAUUUAUCUUAUCUCACUCGUUUUAAAAAUUUUGAUCUCUUAUUUUUAUAAAAUUUUCAUUUCUUAUUUUGUGCAUAAAUUGAAAAUCAACUACUUUAAACCGUUAAAAGAAAGAUCGCGGAGUUAUCUUAAGGCUGGCUUGCCUAGCGGUAAAUGUUGGGUGUCAUCAUGGCCUAUAGGAGAAAUUGUAUCGUGACAGUCUCGCUGUAUCAUCAUAAUGUGAUACUGGGGCAAUUCCUGCGAUUGCUGCUUCGUCAAAAUCUUCAUUCCAGAACUACAUGUGGCCUGAUCCUCGUUAAGCCUGAGUUAUGUAAGCAAUUCAAAGCCAGAAUUCGUCCCCAAUAUUCCCAAAAUCUUCCGAGAUUCUUCCUUAACUCAAUCCUGCAAUUCACAAUCCUCAUUACUGCAAUACAUGCCUGAAGUCAGGAUAAAAUUGGCUUUGGUUCAAUUUCUUUAUCCGAAAACUCUUUCAUCGUCUCCGGUCAAAGAGGGCAGCUAUUGAUUGCCAAUUUUGACCCUCCCCUUUUAAAUUAAUUUAUUUAUACUUACUAAUUUACAAUAAAUAUUUUUAAAGUGUUUUCCAGUAACAAAUACAUAUUUUUACGAAUUAAUUAAGUAUUAGUUUUAAAAUUAAUCGUGUAGUAUUAACAUAAUGUAAUUACAAAUAUAUUCAAUAUUUUAAGAUUAAAAUAACCCUUAUAUAUACAUUACAUAUGUCUUAUAAUUAAUUUAAUGAAUUACUCUUUAAUAUCUAGUUAAUUAGAUUAUUAUGUGAAAUUUAAAAUUAGUGUUGCAAUUUAGAAAACAAAGUAUUUUUAUAAAUAAUUAAUUAAAUAAUUAGUAGUAUAUAUAUUAAUUAUAAUUUGACCAUAUUUUAUUGAAAAGUGUUAAGUUUAUUUAAAUUAAAUUCAAAAAGGGAUUAAAAGACAAAAGGGCUACAAUUGCAAUUCUUAAUCAAAUAUAAAAUGGUUAUUCUUCAAAUUAUUUUCAGCCCAAUUGCUAAGGCCCAAACGGAAGAAGUCAGUCCAAACACCCCAUCUCCAUUCCAAUGUGGCAAUCUAGGCCACUCUCUUUGCACCAAUCAACUCGUACCACCUCACCUCUCUGUAGCACUCACACAAGAAACACAAUGCAUCUGAGUCGUUGGUCCAUCUAAUCAACGACUCACGUUUAUUCUCCAAUUCUUCUUUUGAUGUUAAUACCCCCCCCCCCCCAAAGAUCUCAUCCUCAUCAGGGCCGUUGAUCAUCAUAUCCAACGGCCCAAGCUCUAUCUCUCGUCAUUUAACCUAGAGACAAACCUCCCAAAACCCUAAUAAUUUCUCUUUGACACAGCCGCCCUCAUUUCCUUUUCCUCUCUCUUUUCUCUCAUCCCUUCCAACCCAUCAGUCAUGAAAACCCUGCACAAAUCAGUGCAAGGUCACUAGACCUUCACCAAAUCGUCCUUCCCUGUUUCUCCAUCCCCAAAUCCAGCUAAUUUUCCCUUUUUUCUUUUCAAAUCUGAGAGAUUAGACGCGGCUAGUAAGGUUGAAACCACAUUCUUUUCGAUCUUUCAAAUUAGACUUAUAGAUUCGUCUUAUUUGUCCCUAGAUGAUGAAGCUAGUGAGUCUAGUUUCCAUUUUCGUUGAUUAAAUUCAAAAACCCCAAUUUGAAACCCUAGACCUAAAUGAUGAAACUUCAUUUCAUCUAUUUUCUCCACUCGUUCUUCCUAAUCGGAGCAUGCAUGUGCACAUUUCAGAGCUUUAUCAUGAAUAUUUUGUACCCAGAGGUCAAACGUAGUGACCUGUGGGUUUUGGGGCUUUGUCCAAUGUGUUUUCCUUCAACGGUCAAUUGCUUUCCACUCAGGUAAAAGUUUCAUUCAUUUUCCCUCUGUUUCUUUCUGAUUUCACUGAAUCUUACUGUCAUCAUCGAUAUUUCAUCAAUUCCCACUAUUAUUUUGAAUUUGUGAAACCCUAAGAGCCUUAAUAGUACUAUAAAAGGGGCCUUUAAUGUUCUCAUCUACCACGACCUAACACUGAAAAAAAACAACCUAACAACAUCUAAGAGCAAUUCCGAGAUCCCAAACCUAGGAUUUCUUACUGAUUUCUUUUUUCGUUUCUAAGUACUUUCGCUGCUCCGAGCUUGAAGCCUUGGGGUCUUAAGCAACUAAGAGAUAUUCCUGUUUGUUCUACUGCCCUCAAAAAGGUCAGUACAUUCCUAACUUCUCUCCUUUGAUCAUCUUAUUAGAAUGCUAUGAACAUGCUCAUUGUCUUCUAUUAAUUGUAGUUGUUUGUGAUGUUAUCAUUGAUAUACAAAAUGUUAUAUCUAUGUUCAUGAUAAGGUGCUAUUGACUAUAACAACUCUUAUAUCUGAAUCCUAAUAGUCUACAUGAUUAAUUUCCCUUAAUGUGCUUUAAAUGACUGCUCAUAUUUUUCUAAACUUCAUAGUUUUUCAGUGAUGAUUCUGUUGUGAUCUCUACCUCUACAUAUUGUUUCCUGCCUUCUGUUUGUCUUGUGGUUAAGUUUAUUAUUUGAUAGUCCUAACUAAGAUCACCUGAAAAGUUCAUAAGUUCAUAUCACCCACCAUUUAACAGAAGCAUGAAAAAAUCUAAGUGUUUAGAUGCUUUCCUUCUCUAUACCUAUAUCUGCCAACUUUGAGGGCAACUUCUGGACUGUCACUAUGGCAUUCUCAUGAUUAUACCUAACUGUUGAUUGCCUCUGUAUGAAGUAGCCUUGUUUGAGUUGAACUUUCUUCUUUUCAUGAAUACCAAUAGUUCUAUUUUUUAUAUAUAUAUAUAUAUAUAUAUAUUCUAUUAAGAUUAAGUUAUCCUUUUCUUCAUGAAAUAAGUCAUAAUCAUGUUUGUUAUAGUUAACUAGGUAAUUGCUAUUAAGCUGAACUUAGUUGUCUCAUAUUAGUUAAAACCUUCAGUUACAUGUUUAAGUCAAAACCUAUUUGGUGUAGUGCUUUUUCUGUUUUUAAUUUCUUUGAUGCUACUACUACUUUAUAAAGCUUAUAUUUAGUUGUCAAUAAGGUGUCUUCCAUAAGGUAGGACCUAGUUAUUCUUGUUAUAAUCAAGUGUUGAUUAUUAAACUAAGUGUGAUUGCUUUAUAUCUAGAUAUUAAUUUAAGCUAUACACAUAGGUUAAACUUGUUUUGGUAUAAUACUUCCCUUAUCUGUCACCCCUCUCCCUUCAUAACAUGUUUAACUUGAUUCUGUAACAUGUAAAGUUCCUCUAUCUGUAUAAGAUUACAACCUCGCUUGAAGUAUCUAUGUAUAAUUGACUGAAUGUUGUAGGUUCCCUUGUUUGGCUUCCAGAUCCCAUGCUUGUUUUGAACUGCACUCAGUUCUCUCGCUUCUACUAUUCUGAAAUUGAAUCUGAUUUUCAAUCUUGUUAGAAGUUUUCCACUGCUACUAUCUGAGCAUAAUGGCUUAUUUGAGAUUAAUACUAUUAUUAAUAUAAUCAUGUUGACCCCUAUAGGGAUUCCAUGACCAAAUCUAUGAACCUGUAGUCGUAUUGAGAGUUUUGAUCAUGUUUCUGAUAUAUUUUGGUAACUUCUAUAAAAGUUUCUAGUUGUGACUAUUUGCCUGAACCUUUAUUAAUACCUCUUAAAAUUCCAAGUAGUGUUACUAAUCCAUGCAUGUGCUAGUAGAAAACUAAUCAGUUCAUAGUUUGUUUGCCAAGGCAGGAGCAUUUGUAUUUCUUGUGUUGCUACAUAUAUGAACUCUGUAUAGCUUACCUUCCCCUUGAAUGUGUUUUUUCCCUAAUGCUUAGACCUUUAACAGUAUGUUAUGAUGUUUCUGCUUCUCUCCUAUAUGUGCUCGAAGUCUGACUUUUAGGUUUUCCUGAUAUGUGUAUUAUUCAUUUGGUAUCAAAUAUAGUCUUUGUGCCUUUAUGUUAUUCUGUUAGAAGGGAGAGUGUACUUUUGUGGUAAGUGAUACUAUAGAAUUUAGUUUACAUUGAAAGGGCCUCAUUGGAAUUUAAACACAUAAGAAAAAAUAUGUUGUUAGUGGUUAGGGGUAUUUGGGAGUGGAUUUUAACUCUAAGUGGGGCUGCUUUCCCCGGCACAAACAUUGCCAUGGGCCUCGAGUCCCUUGGAAACUUUGAAGCAUCUGAGGAUUCAAAGGGGGCAUCGACCUUGAGUAGAACUCCCUCCUUAGCCUUUAAUUCAUUGACACUUUUGGUUCUUUAAGGGUUUAGUGUUUAAUGACAAUGAAAGAUUUUCAAUGUAAAUUAUUUUUCAUGUAUGACCACCAUAUUAGUAUAAUUUCUCAUAGCGUUAGACUAUUGAUAAUUUUAAUAUAUUUGGUUCCAGUCGUCUGUUUAUAUAUAGUUCAUACACGGUUGAAUAUGCUGAAAAUAUGGAGCAUGUAUCUAAUGAUUUUCUCUUUUCUUUUGGACAUGUACAUUAUUUGGGCCUGCUAAGUUCCUAUGAAACUCAUGCCCAAUCCCAGCCUUGUUGCACUUUUCUAGAGAGUCCAAAAUCAGCUGUAGCCGUAUCUCAUUACUGCUGGGCCUGCCUUCUUGAGGCCCAAUUACUAGAGUACAGUCCUCUUUCCCUCAAUUCCUUUGUUAUUAUAUAUUGCUUCCUUAAUCUAGUUUACUGCUUCAUUACCUUUUAUCUACUUCCUUGUUGCUUUGUCGCAUCUUUGUUGUCAUGUAUACAACACUCACAUAUUAGAUUACAUACUUUAUUUUCAUGCUUUAACAUCAUAUAAAACAUAGGCAAGCUUUAAAUAAUGUAGGAUUUAAAAGAAAUUAGUUAGUAAUUAAUCCUCACUUCGCUAAUUAUAAUUCACUCAUAUCAUUACUAUGUUCUCGCUCACUUUUUCUUUUCUUAAAAGAUUUUGAAGCGCAGAACUUAGUAAAAAUAGCGGCCCAUUUUCAAAAGAAAAUCAGAAUUGAAUCGCAAGCUUUACUAUCGUAAGGCAAAUCGGAAUUUUCAUAAAAGGUGAAGUACUGUCACCCCAAAAGGAUUUUCAAAAGACCGCUUUUCCUUAACGUUUUAAAAGCCAAACUAUAUCUUAGGCUCACUUUUCAAACACCUUUUAGAAUAACAUGAACACCUAUUCCCUAAAUCAGAUGUUUUCAUAACUUAACUUCUUUUCACAAGAUUUAUAAAAUAUAGAACAUUUACAUACAUAUUUCAAAACUUUUUCAACUAUAUCCACCAACAUAGACUCCUUUAUAAAUUCACAACCUUUUAAGGGUCUCAUGUUCCUUUUAUUAAUAUCAUGCUUUUCCUUAGAUAUACAGUAAGACGUGCUCUUUAAUAGUAAUUAAGCAUAGUACAAAUAAUUGAUCCCUUAAAAUUAGUCUAAGUCCCAUGGAGCUACCUCAGACAGAUUUUAAGGGGUGCCUAACACCUUCCCCUUAGAAGAACAAGAACCCUUACCAUAAUCUCACCGGUUAGCAGACCAAUAAUAAAUAUGACUUAUUAAUUAAAUAAGUACCCUAGUAUACCUUUAAAUAUUAGGUGACAACUCUCUUUUAUCAACAACAAAGAAACUACAAGUUGAAUCUUAUUUUGUGUAGUGCAAAAUAGGGUGCAACAUCGGGGACAUUGCGGUUAAUUUCCAUCUAAAGGUGAAAGUUUUGGUAAGUGUUUUCUCCAGAUCUUUAGCGUAUUAUCUGGAUUGGUUCGUCGUUCCACAAAAGACAUGUCGUUGGGUGCAUGACCUGUUGACAUUACAUUGGAUUUCCUAAUUAUGAGUCAAUACUAAGGACUGACACACCUAAGGUUUAUGCAGUAUGACCUAUGUUUGCUAAGAGUAGAGUGUUACCGAAUGUUGGAUUUGGACUGAAUAACUGCGAGACAUUAUGUCAAUUGGCCUGACAAAGUCGUUCUAUGAAGCUAGAGUGUUUUGAAAGAAGGUUCGGAGGGGUGUAAAAGAUAACCCUAGCAUGUCAUUCGUGUGUGAUUAUGUACGGCCAUUACUCGAGAGGAAAGAUGUGAUGAUAGUGUAUAAAGCGGUAACAAAUAAUUGUGGCAAAGUAGCAAUAAACAAGUAAGCAUGUUAAAAAGCAUAAGCAAGUGGAAUAAAGCGGGUAAGCAUGUAUUUUCAAGUUAAGCAUAAUUAAAGUAGAAUAUAACAAACAUUCCCAAAUUUCAAGUCUAGCCUAAAUCUGCUAAGUUCAGAACCUAAGUGUAAGAAUCCCCAAAUGAGUUGCCAUGUUGUUGUACCCUGUUUUUCACUCAUCAAUACAAAAUAUAACUAAUGAUUCUUCUGAAGUUGAUAAAGAGAGUCGCCACCUAAUAUUUUAAGGUAUACUAGGGAACCUAUGGGUUUAUAAAAUUAUUAUCCUAAUGGUCUGCUAACCGGUGAGAUUUGGGUAAGGGUUCUAGUUAUUCUAAAAGGUGUUAGGCACACCUCAAAAUCUACCUGAGGUAGCUCCUUAGGAUUACGCUAGGUUUGAGGAAAGAAGUGUCCAUAUUCGUCUUAAUCAGAUGCUUAAAGUCUAUAAAAAUGUAUGCUUAUAUGUUGAAAACUAGAUAUGUUUUUAAAUAAUCUUGUAAAGAACUCUUUGUUUGAAAGGAAGUUGAGGGUGCGCUUUACAAAGAUAAUUAUCUAUUUAAAGCUUAGUAGAGUGAGGGACUAUUUGAAAAUAUACCUUGAGUUAGAAUAGGUACUCCUUACUUGAAAAUCAAUUGUACUGAGAAAGUCUUGUGUUUUUGAAACUCAUUGACAUACACCAGUUUAUAAAUGCCGGCUAUGUUUGUUUUUUUAUUUUGUGAUGCAGCUUUACAAUUAUUCUUUUUGCAAUUCUGAUUUUCAAAGAGAUUUCGGGUUGCUUUUGAAAUCUGUCAAAGUCCAAACUUAUUGAAAAUUAUUAAUGAUAACAAGAUAAAGCCUUUCAUUAUCAAAGAGAUAACUUUGGGAAUUAAUUAGUGAUUCAACAUUAUCAGACCUAAAGUGAGCAGAAUUUCUAACUUGAUUUUACCUAUGGGCCUUGGUUUGCCUACUUCCCUAAAGAAGAUCAAAUUAUCAAAGAUAUCCAAUAAUGUAGUUAGUCAUUCUGGGACAGAGAUAUAUAUAUAUAUAUAUANNNNNNNNNNNNNNNNNNNNNNNNNNNNNNNNNNNNNNNNNNNNNNNNNNNNNNNNNNNNNNNNNNNNNNNNNNNNNNNNNNNNNNNNNNNNNNNNNNNNNNNNNNNNNNNNNNNNNNNNNNNNNNNNNNNNNNNNNNNNNNNNNNNNNNNNNNNNNNNNNNNNNNNNNNNNNNNNNNNNNNNNNNNNNNNNNNNNNNNNNNNNNNNNNNNNNNNNNNNNNNNNNNNNNNNNNNNNNNNNNNNNNNNNNNNNNNNNNNNNNNNNNNNNNNNNNNNNNNNNNNNNNNNNNNNNNNNNNNNNNNNNNNNNNNNNNNNNNNNNNNNNNNNNNNNNNNNNNNNNNNNNNNNNNNNNNNNNNNNNNNNNNNNNNNNNNNNNNNNNNNNNNNNNNNNNNNNNNNNNNNNNNNNNNNNNNNNNNNNNNNNNNNNNNNNNNNNNNNNNNNNNNNNNNNNNNNNNNNNNNNNNNNNNNNNNNNNNNNNNNNNNNNNNNNNNNNNNNNNNNNNNNNNNNNNNNNNNNNNNNNNNNNNNNNNNNNNNNNNNNNNNNNNNNNNNNNNNNNNNNNNNNNNNNNNNNNNNNNNNNNNNNNNNNNNNNNNNNNNNNNNNNNNNNNNNNNNNNNNNNNNNNNNNNNNNNNNNNNNAUAUAUAUAUAUAUAUAUAUAUAUAUAUAUAUAUAUAUAUAUAUAUAUAACAAACAACAUGAACAGAGUUAAAAAUAAAAUGAGGGGACAGAGGGUCAGACUCUUGGCGGUUUGGGCUUGGUAAAACUUAACCAGGCCCAGCAGCACUUGGGCUAAGCGACAGACUCCUAUGCGUGACAGGGAAGCGGGCUGGACUGGACUAGACUUUGGGCCUGAGUUCCCAAUGGAACUCAGUAGGCCCAAGUCAAAACAUGCACCAAAAAAAGGAUCAUUAGUGUAUAUCAAAUGAAAUAAGAUAGAGAUGAAGUCAAAUAAUAAAAAAGGACUAAAGAAUGCAAUGGGACAUAUUUCAUUUAUGUUAAUCCUAUGAGUAUUAAUAGGAAAUAAUAAUUAAAGGAUUCGUAUAAAUCCUCAUUUAUGGAUAUUAUUCUCCUUUGAGCCCUUGGCACUUUAGAGUUCACGAGGGUCUCACGGACCCUGAGCAGUGCUUGUGUCAAGGAGAGGGAUCAUAACCACAACAAGUUUUCACAUCCAAAUACCAUUAAUCACCUACUUCUAAUCUUACUCAAAUGCUUAAACACAAAUGAAUGAAAUAAAAGAGUAACUCAUACUACUAAGAUACAAAUCGUAGGUACAAGAGUCCUAGUGAGCAUUUUACAAAUUCAAACACACACAAAAUUCGACAACUGUGGAAAAAUAAGGCACUGCAGUUCAUCAUCAAAGCACAAUAGUAGCUAAAGGCACAGUAUUGACUGAACGGGGAUUCAAAUCAAAGUAUAGGAUAAAGGGUAGGCAUGAGAUCACUGUUGUGACACAAUAUCACAAAGUGCAGGUAGUAGGCAUGCUUCACUACUCAUGUUUCUUAGGCUUAGAAAUGUUAAUAGGCAAGUACUAAACAGAGAGGAGUUCAGGUACAUGUUCUGUUGGUUUCACUAUAGGGUUGAUGCUCAAAGUUCUCUUAGGCAAGUUCAGAUUAUAAGAAUAUGUGUCAAAUACUUCUAAGUCUAAGAGCAGGCAUACAUCUCACUAAGACCUAAUCACCUUAAUAGUUAAACUGGAAAAUCAUAAUAUAUUAACACACAGAUGUGCAAACAGAUUCACUUAGUACAUGAGUUAAUGUACAGGUCAUAAUAAUAGCAUGGCAUAGCUUAACAAUUAAAAAUAUUUAAACAAGGACAGAUCAUUAGGGUCAGUCUCUUAUAGGAUCACUUACUCAAACCAUUUCCUUACCACAGAAAGAUUUGGACUAUUAUAGGUGAACACAGAGAUGUAAGGAUAGGCUUCUUCAAGCUGCUGUCAUGAAAUACCCUAUGGGCACAACAGUACUAAUACAACAGAUGUGAACUCAGGUGUAGAAACUAAGGAGAGUCAUGAUAGCAAAGAUUUUCAUAUAGCAGGGUUCAAGUAAUCAGGAAAUGGUAUUCAUUCAAGAGAUUGAUCACAUUCAAAUCUUCUAACACAUUGAUAGAGUUCCUUAUAUGAUCUCUUUUGUUUCCAAUUAUCAUAAGAAGCAUACAGAAAUCAUUCCAUUAAUAUAAUAUGAACAGAGUACUAACUAAGUCAAGACAAGUCAUCACUAACACAAUCAUGUUCCUAGAACUAAGGCAAAAAUAGCACAACACAAACAUUAAGGUGGCUUGGUGUUAACAAGUUAACAUUGUUCCCAAGAGAAGCGUAACGGUCUGAUUUUAGAACUAGUUGCUUAACUAACAUAUUAUAUACAAUAUUGUUAACAUAGUAUUUAACAAAGACUUAACAGAGUCUAAGAAUAACAGCUAUACACAGAUUACUGGGUAUGUAGAAUAAGCAGUUUAUCACUCUCACACUUAUCAACAAAGACUUAAUAAAGUAGACAGGUUGAAUACAUGACAUGAAGUACAGAGAAUAUAUCUAUAAGAUUAACAUAAUGUCACAAGUUGGAGGGUCGAAUAACCUAGAGGUACAGAAGCACAAAGAGAGGUUCAGGAGCAUGAUUCAACUAGCCUAGCAAACAUGACUGUACUCAGGCUAUUCUUUUGAUUCACAUAAUAUCAUUAACAUAAGGUUUAGCCAUGAGAGAAUAUUAACACAAAACACUUCCAACUAACUAAGUCAUGAUAGAUAGAGUUUAUUAACAACAUCAAAACAACAUAGCUUAUCUAGAAAGUCUGCAACUUAAUAGUGAGGAAAGAAUACAAGAUAAGGCAUAACAAGUAUAAUAUAUGUCACAAACAACUGAUUACUAACAAAGAAAACAUCACAAACACAAGCCUACAUAAUUAAAGUGAGAUAAAGGGGAUCAGUGUGCACUGACCUUAUGCGGGGCCGCAAACCAAGAAAAAGUGAUUCAAUAGCUGUUUAAGAGACCCCAAUUCAAAACCAGUGCCACAUUGAACUCGAACUGGAGAAGAUAAAGAAAAACAGAAAGUUUAGUGAGUACUUAGUGAGAAACUUUGAACAUUAACAUUUUUAUUUCUUUCUUUUUGUGUUUCGGAGAGAGUUAGAUGUGUUGUUAGGUGAAGACAUUGAAUGUCCCUUUUAUAGUGGCAUUCAAGCCACUUAGGGUCAUCCGAAAUAUUCAAAAUCGAUGGUGGAAAGUGACGAUUGCAUGGAUGAUGAUAGCAAUAGAGGUGAAAUCAGUGAAGAAUAGAGGUGAAAACAUCAUAGAAAUUACCUGGGCAUGAGGGUCGACCAUUGAAGCCUUUGGACUACCGGUCAAACCCUAAUAUCCAGAGGUUACUGCAUUUGACCUAUGGAUAAAGAAUAACAAUGAAGAAAUUGGAGAUAAACAACCAUGCAUGCCAUGGAUUUGAAAGAUCGAAGGAAGAACAAGCGAUUUUCAGUAGCAUCUUUUAGGUCAGGGGUUCAAUUUGGGGAACUUGAAAUUUAUUGAUGAAAAUGGAAGUAUCGGUAGGAUUUGCGGAUGUAUGGGACAUAUUGAGUGAUUUGGAGUUUGAAUUUGUGACCUUGCACAAAUUUGUACAAUAAUUUGUGACUGACGAGGUCAGAUGGGAUAAGAGAAAAGAAAGAGAAUUGAGAAAGAGAGGCGGUUGGGUAUGGUUGAGAAUGA
rnacentral:lncRNA from 1 species